rnacentral:snRNA from 1 species
UUAUUUACUUUGCCCAAAUCCAUCAGAGCAAUCAUUAUGUAUCCCAGGAUGAAGUUUAUCCAUUGCAUUCCAAAUGUGCUAACCCCUAUGAUUUCCUCAAAUUUGGGAAACUCGACUGCAUAAUCUGUGGUAGUGGGGAACUGUAUUUGUACUCUCAA